CUUCCAGGGCACCCUGGGACCAAACCAUACCAGUGUCAGUUUUUAAAGAGCCAGGCCUGACAAACUAGAGGAAGGGAAAUAAUAACAAGCGUGCUUUCCUCAAGAUGUGAGGGAGAGGGACCUCCGCAUUCCUCAUCUCUUGACUGAAAUCUCCCAGCCACUGAGAACUCUAGGUAAUAAAUCGUAACUCGUCUUGGCUGUGUGAAAUCUCUUGUUUCCGGGUGCUAGGGAAAACACUGCCAGGGCUUCAUAAUUUCUGGUGAAAUAUGAGGCAGAGUCAGCCAGGAGUCUCUCAGCUGCACAUACGUGAGACAUUUCAGCUCACACGUCUCCAGCCCUGAAAGCUCGACCAUCGGAACGAGGCGGCUGCCUCUUCUGACUGCAUCCCCGCCACGGUCGUCCUCCAGAGACGGUCAGUCCUCACCGCUGCAGAGGUGCGUGCUUCAGCCUCCCAGCAGAAGCGCAUCUGCUACCGCACGUCAGCACGUGGUUCUCGCUCAGCCUCUUGCAGACACGCGCAGAGCGGGCGGGACACCGCUCUGCGGCUGGGCUCAGCUCUCACUCCACUCCAAGAUUAAGCCUGAGGUAUCUGGGCAUCUCUGUGCAUCCCAGACGUUGGUGUUUUUCAUCACUGACAGAUCCCAAAAGUAUGGAGGGGAUUUCAGCAACUCUAUCAGAGCAGCGGUCCUCUGCUUUUGCACGGUUAUAUCUGCUGGUCAUGUCAAUGUUACACACCAGCUCGGGGGAAGCAGGUCACUGG
ensembl:lncRNA